GGAGUAGUGUACAUGAGGAUGGGAAGGAACCAGGGCAAAAAUGACCUUUUGCAUUAGUCUCAUGUUAGCAUGGAGUACCAUACUAGUAUAAGGAUGAGUUUGAUCAAAAAUAAAAGUUGAGGGGACUAGAUUGGUCUAUUUGAAAGUUAAGGGAUGAAUUUAACCCUGGGGUAAAGUUGAGGGACCAAUUAUUUUGCCAUCUACCAACACAUGUGUGGUAGAUAUUGAAUGCUACCAUUGUACUCCUCCUGAAUCAAAUGGUACAUUAAGGCCAGUCUCAAUGGAGGUUUCAUCGGUAGUUUCAUGACCAUUAAAUAACAUUCCACAUUAGCAAAUUGCUGAUGUGGCAAGGUCAUUAUGAGGAGAGAGGAGAGGAAGUUUCAUCAUAUGUGUGAGGAGUUUUAUCACCAUGAAACCCAGCAGGCACAAUUACCAAGUUCUUAGAUUUGGUAACUAUACCAUGAAACUGUGCACUGAGACUAGCACAUCACAUUCUUCAAAGUAUAUAUUAAUAAAAAUAGAAUGUGUCAAUGUAAAGACAAAUUUUAAUGUAAUGUUUCUAGAGAUAUGAAACAAAAGCCAGCUUGAAACCAUGUCUAAAGUCACGCUUCUUUCUCUCUUUUUAUGAAAGUGAGUAGCAAGUUUGGCUUUACUUUCGGUAGUUUUUUUGAAAAAUAGAAAGUUUGAGGUGUUAUGAUAUAUAUAUCAUAUAUUUGGUUCCUGAUCCGGCUGGCCAAGCCAAAUUUUGGCCAUUCCAAACAAUUCGGGUACCCUAUUUGGUUCAUAGCCAAAAGUUUAGCUAGCCAAAAAGAUUUUGACCAAGACCAGUCACAGUAAACGCUCUCUGCACUCCCAAGCAAAACGGCAGCCGAGAAUGGGCUUGGCUGCUAGGCCCUGUGCGGUGACGUGUCAUGUUUCGGUUGGUUACAUUCAAUGUUUUAUAUUUAGG
rnacentral:lncRNA from 1 species